ACGCAAAAAAACAAUAAAUGCAAAUUUAGCAACGUAAAAUUUCAUCCAAUUGAGGACCCCAAGACUAAACUUGGAUUCAAGACGAAGAACAGAUAUUGGUGUCUUUGUUGAACUUGUAUUUUCCUUAUUAUUUCAA